rnacentral:rRNA from 1 species
UACGUAGGGUGCAAGCGUUGUCCGGAAUUAUUGGGCGUAAAGAGCUCGUAGGCGGUGUGUCGCGUCGGCCGUGAAAACCUGCAGCUUAACUGUGGGCUUGCGGUCGAUACGGGCAUCACUGGAGUUCGGCAGGGGAGACUGGAAUUCCUGGUGUAGUGGUGAAAUGCGCAGAUAUCAGGAGGAACACCGGUGGCGAAGGCGGGUCUCUGGGCCGAUACUGACGCUGAGGAGCGAAAGCGUGGGGAGCGAACAGG